CCUUACUGUAUUAUGUUUCUGCCCCAGUGAAAAGAGUAUUUGGUUGUUACCACCAUGAAGCUUUGACACUUUGACCUUGUGGCUCAUAUAUUCUAUAAUAUAAUAUGAGCGAUCGGAAACAGUGGAAGUGUGGACAAACAUAUUUUUUAUAUAUGUUAAAAUCUUGAAGUCUCUAGGGAACGUUUGGUUUUGGAAGUUGAGUUUGGCAGAUCAGGAAAUGGUCACGUAAGUAACUGGAACUGCCAUGUACUUUACGUCAUUUUUUUUAGCAUUGAUACUUGACCUACUCUUAGAUGUGUACUUGUUAGAAGGGAAAGUUACAGCCCAUGUGACUAUAUCUGAUAGCAACAACCACAAUAUCUCUUGUCUCACCAAGACCUGCUACUCAAAACUAGUCCUGUUUAAUUUUUCAAAACGGUAACAGGCUUCUUAGUAACAAUAAUUCAACAAUUUACAAUGUAACAACAUUAUGAGUUAACGCUUAAGUUGUCUGUGAGAUUCUCUACCUAUAGGCUACUCUACCUGAACGUUACCAUGUAAAUGCUAACACCUUAUCUGAUGGAAUGUGUUAUUAAGAGUUCACGGAGGAAACGUCACAUAGCCGUGAACCAACUGAAAAAAACCACAGAAAAAAAUGUUCCACCUGAUUGGCCAAUGACAGGUUAAACUUCCUUUAAUGAAAAAGUCUGCAUGAUAUCUGUGUGUACGAACAGCUUCACUGUCUUUUAUCUGCCGGUCAUCGUCACACAUGGAUGGGUUGCAAAUUCUUACAGUCGUUCUCUUAGGAGUUGUUUCUUACAGUCAUGGUUGGAUUUCUGGACCAGUGUUGGAGGUGACAGUCAGACCAGGAGACAACAUCACUCUCUACUGUGACUGCAAAUUAUCAAGUGGAGUAUACAUAGUGUGGUACAGAAACUGCUCUCAUGAGAACCAGCCUUCUCUUGUCCUUGAAUCAAAACUUGAAUUAUAUGUGUUAACCGUUCUCCCUGGUUUUCAAUUUGUGAGAAACCAUUCCUCUGCCUCCUAUGACUUGUUGAUCAUGAACGUCACUGAUGCAGAUGAGGGUCUCUACUACUGUGGAACUAAACAGAUCAAGGUGGAGGACAAAGAAUUCAUCACUCCCAGAUAUGAUUACAGAUAUGGCAACGUCACAACAAGGAUCGGGAUCAUAGUCAACUCCAGCGAGCCUCAUCACACGGAGACUCCACAAGACUGUAGUGUGUGCUGGAUGCUGCUGUUCUCUCUGUGUCCAGCUUUUGCUGUCCUCUCCUCUCUCCUCUCCUCACUCGUGGUUUAUCACAUCUGUCAGAAAAAAGCUAAAGAACGUCAAGUUGAUCAACAAAAACCUGAAACUAGAGGUCAAACAAGACUGAAUCAGGAUGAAGAUGUGUGUUAUGCCGCACUGGAUAUCCGUCAACCAUCACAAAGACCAAAGAAGAAGAAAACGAAAGAAGAAGACUUCAGCAUGUAUUCUGCCAUCAAGACUUCUAGGAUGUAG
rnacentral:lncRNA from 1 species